rnacentral:rRNA from 1 species
UGAGGAAUAUUGCGCAAUGGGGGCAACCCUGACGCAGCAACGCCGCGUGAGUGAGGAGGGUUUUCGGAUCGUAAAGCUCUGUCGAGUGGGAAGAAAUGUGUGGUGGCUAAUAUCCAUCAUGCUUGACGGUACCGCUAAAGGAAGCACCGGCUAACUCCGUGCCAGCAGCCGCGGUAAUACGGGGGGUGCAAGCGUUGUUCGGAAUUAUUGGGCGUAAAGAGCUCGUAGGCGGUUCAGUUAGUUGGGUGUGAAAACUCCGGGCUUAACCCGGAGCCGCCACCCAAUACUGCUGUGACUAGAGUUCGGUAGAGGGGGAUGGAAUUCCGCGUGUAGCAGUGAAAUGCGUAGAUAUGCGGAGGAACACCGAUGGCGAAGGCAAUCCCCUGGACCUGUACUGACGCUCAUGCACGAAAGCGUGGGGAGCAAACAGG